rnacentral:rRNA from 1 species
AUAAUAAUUUGUUUUUUAAUUGGAGGCUGGAAUGAAGGAUUGAAUGAAGUAUAAUCUGUCUCAUAAAAAAUAGUUUUUAAAUUUAAUUUUUAAGUAAAAAAGCUUAAAUUUUAUUAUAGGACGAGAAGACCCUAUAGAGUUUUAUAAUUUAAAUUUUUAUUAAUUAAUUUUUUAUAAUUUAUUUAAAUUAUUUUAUUGGGGCGAUAGGAAAAUUUAAUAAACUUUUUUAAUUAUAAAAACAUUAAUAAAUGAAUUUUUGAUCCUAAUUUUUAGAUUAUUAGAAAAAAUUACCUUAGGGAUAACAGCGUUAUUUUUUUUAAAAGUUCGUAUUAAUAAAAAAGAUUGC